UACGAAGGGGGCUAGCGUUGCUCGGAAUGACUGGGCGUAAAGGGCGCGUAGGCGGCGGUCACAGUUAGAUGUGAAAUCCCCGGGCUUAACCUGGGCAUUGCGUUUAAGACUGUUUAGCUUGAGUACUGUAGAGGAUAGUGGAAUUUCCAGUGUAGCGGUGAAAUGCGUAGAUAUUGGAAGGAACACCAGUGGCGAAGGCGACUAUCUGGACAGAUACUGACACUGAGACACGAAAGCGUGGGGAGCAAACAGG
rnacentral:rRNA from 1 species